CCAGACUCCUACGGGAGGCAGCAGUGAGGAAUAUUGGUCAAUGGGCGAGAGCCUGAACCAGCCAAGUCGCGUGAGGGAAGACGGUCCUAUGGAUUGUAAACCUCUUUUGCCGGGGAGCAAAAAGCGGUACGUGUACCGCAUCGAGAGUACCCGGAGAAAAAGCAUCGGCUAACUCCGUGCCAGCAGCCGCGGUAAUACGGAGGAUGCGAGCGUUAUCCGGAUUUAUUGGGUUUAAAGGGUGCGCAGGCGGGGGUGUAAGGUGGGGGGAAAAAUCGGGGGGCACACCCCCGGCGAGCCGUUGAAACUGGCUUGCUAGAGUGGGCGAGAAGUAUGCGGAAUGCGUGGUGUAGCGGUGAAAUGCAUAGAUAUCACGCAGAACUCCGAUUGCGAAGGCAGCAUACCGGCGCCCAACUGACGCUCAGGCACGAAAGCGUGGGUAUCGAACAGGAUUAGAUACCCGUGUA
rnacentral:rRNA from 1 species